rnacentral:rRNA from 1 species
AACGAACGCUGGCGGCAUGCCUAAUACAUGCAAGUCGAACGAGAUCUUCGGAUCUAGUGGCGCACGGGUGCGUAACGCGUGGGAAUCUGCCCUUGGGUUCGGAAUAACUUCUGGAAACGGAAGCUAAUACCGGAUGAUGACGUAAGUCCAAAGAUUUAUCGCCCAAGGAUGAGCCCGCGUAGGAUUAGCUAGUUGGUGAGGUAAAGGCUCACCAAGGCGACGAUCCUUAGCUGGUCUGAGAGGAUGAUCAGCCACACUGGGACUGAGACACGGCCCAGACUCCUACGGGAGGCAGCAGUAGGGAAUAUUGGACAAUGGGCGAAAGCCUGAUCCAGCAAUGCCGCGUGAGUGAUGAAGGCCUUAGGGUUGUAAAGCUCUUUUACCCGGGAUGAUAAUGACAGUACCGGGAGAAUAAGCUCCGGCUAACUCCGUGCCAGCCGCCGCCGUAAUAC